rnacentral:tRNA from 1 species
CCCCCGGGGGGCGGCGGUGUCGCGGCCACGCGCACUCUCCUAGCGCUCGACUCGGUUCGAUUCCGGGCUCGGGCGCCC